AUUCCAGCUCCAAUAGCGUAUAUUAAAGCUGUUGCAGUUAAAAAGCUCGUAGUUGGAUUUCUGGCAUGAUGCGCCUGGCCCGCUCCGAUUACGGAUGUGUGUGCUAGUGCGCGUCUGCCAUCCAUUUACAGAAUGUAUCUACCCUUCAUUGGGCCGGAUAUGUGAUGUAAAUCUUUUACUUUGAAAAAAUUAGAGUGUUUAAAGCAGGCAUUUGCUAUGAAUACAUUAGCAUGGAAUAAUAAUCUAGGACUUCGGUUUUAUUUUGUUGGUUUCUAAAUCUGGAGUAAUGAUUGAUAGGGAUAGUUGGGGGUGCUAGUAUUUAGGGGCCAGAGGUGAAAUUCUUGGAUUCUCUAAAGACUAACUUAUGCGAAAGCAUUCACCAAGGAUGUCUUCAUCA
rnacentral:rRNA from 1 species